rnacentral:rRNA from 1 species
UACGUAGGGGGCUAGCGUUGUCCGGAAUCAUUGGGCGUAAAGCGUGCGCAGGCGGUUUCGUAAGUCUGUCGUGAAAUCCCCGGGCUUAACCUGGGAAUGGCGAUGGAGACUGCGAGGCUAGAGUUUGGCAGAGGGGGGUAGAAUUCCACGUGUAGCAGUGAAAUGCGUAGAGAUGUGGAGGAACACCGAUGGCGAAGGCAGCCCCCUGGGUCAAAACUGACGCUCAUGCACGAAAGCGUGGGGAGCAAACAGG